GAGCCAUGGUGGUUAAAGUGGUGACGAACUAAUUUUGCAGAGAUUUCUUCCAGGCAUUCAAAAUGUGAAAUCUAAAAUAUCAUACAUGAAAAUGCUUUCUUUAAAAUGGGAGGGGGGGGAGAGAGAAUGGCAUUCCUUCAAACUGCCUCAAUUGAACAGGCACCAUUCAAAUUUAUUUUCUGUUCUGCUGCUUUAAAAAUAUCCCAAUUUCUUUGUCCUUACCAAACUUUCUUUAAAUUGCUGCAAAUUCAUUUAAGGUGCCAAAGCAGUGUACAUUUAACUUGGGAUGGAAUCUUGCCCUUACAAGCAGACUCAUGGAACAGCAUACUUGUGUAUACAUCUUCAUCUUGAUCAUACUAUGUUGUUGUUGUCCACACAUAUUCCACUUUUCAGCUAUGAAAUGCUGGAGGAUAUGAGAGUAAGGGUGGCCUUCCAGAUGUCGCUGGAAUACAAUUGCCACCAGUCAUGGCCAGCAUAACCAGUAGUGCAGAGUUGCAUUUUAAUAACUCCUGGAAGGACUGAACAUUUUCCACCCCUGACCUCACUGGUGCUACUACGUAUAAGUAUUUACAGGAUCAGUAACCAACAGUGCCCCUCCCACAAAGGAAACUAUUAUUAGGUCACUAAAUUUAAAUAAUUAACCCAAAUCACUCAAAUUAACUGAGUACAAUUACUACAAAUAAAGAGAAAAUUAUCUUGAUAAAGAUUUGAGCAUUCACUUUUUUCCUAGCUUAGCUUCUAGAGAGAGAUUUUUUGAACUUGCUUUACAUCAAGAGAGAAAUGCUGGACUCUGAUUAUAUAGAAUCAGAUGAAGAGGUUUCCACAAACAAAGACAGGCAUUCUCGCCUUGGGGAGGAUAACCUGGAUGAUACACUGGAAUUGGAUUUUUCAUGCCGAAAUUUGAGAGCAGAAGAGUUCAAAGAAUUUCAUACAAAGGACAGUAGCUUAUUGGCUGAUCAAGACAUUGGUCAUGAGGUUAAAGCCAAGGUAGAGGAGCACCAGGAUUCAAAACAGAUGGCAAAAGCUAUCCCUCAGAUUCUUCUCCUUAGAAAUGAGAACCAUAAGGAUCUAAUUCCCUCUGUCUCUUCUCUAGAUGCUACUAAUAUGCUCGAAAUCAAAGGAAGUAUUGAAAGUUCCUAUGAUAAUGCAUACUGAGAACUCACACUCUUAUCAGUCUUCUAUCACUUUGCUUCACAUGCUCACUUGUGUAUCUCCUUCAGGGCCUAAUUCUAAUUUUUGUUUCUAGAGAAUUACAAAAUUAAAAUUUCAAGCGGCACUGUGUAACAGGACAUAAUAAUGGAACCAAUUCUCCAUAUUAAAAACUUUUGGGGAGUAUAUGUGGGUCACAAAAUGCAAUGAGGAAAAUAGUGUUUACAAAGCCAAUGUCCUUGUUUCUAGAACUUUUUUAUUCAGAAUAAUUUAAAUAAUUACUGAUUAACAGUAAUUAUACUAAUAAAUAUAAUGCAAGGUUUUAAACUUUGUUUAUGGUUUUUCUAUGUAUUAUAACUGUAUUCUCAAUUUGCUUUUGGCAUGAUAGAUAAAUAAAUAAAUAAAUAAAUA